rnacentral:rRNA from 1 species
GUAACACGUGAGCAAUCUGCCCCUGACUCUGGGAUAACUCCGAGAAAUCGGUGCUAAUACCGGAUACGAACCGAGACCGCAUGGUCAUCAGUUGGAAAGAACUUCGGUCAGGGAUGAGCUCGCGACCUAUCAGCUAGUUGGUGAGGUAAUGGCUCACCAAGGCGACGACGGGUAGCCGGCCUGAGAGGGUGACCGGCCACACUGGGACUGAGACACGGCCCAGACUCCUACGGGAGGCAGCAGUGGGGAAUAUUGCACAAUGGGCGCAAGCCUGAUGCAGCAACGCCGCGUGAGGGACGAAGGCCUUCGGGUUGUAAACCUCUUUUAGCAGGGAAGAAGCGAAAGUGACGGUACCUGCAGAAAAAGCACCGGCUAACUACGUGCCAGCAGCCGCGGUAAUACGUAGGGUGCAAGCGUUGUCCGGAAUUAUUGGGCGUAAAGAGCUCGUAGGCGGUUUGUCGCGUCUGCUGUGAAAAUCCGAGGCUCAACCUCGGACCUGCAGUGGGUACGGGCAAACUAGAGUGCGGUAGGGGAGAUUGGAAUUCCUGGUGUAGCGGUGGAAUGCGCAGAUAUCAGGAGGAACACCAAUGGCGAGGGCAGAUCUCUGGGCCGUAACUGACGCUGAGGAG